GCCCUGCCUUGUGCUUCUGUGAAAAUGAAACCCUGUUCAUCAAUAGAAGGAAGACACAGACACAAAUAGCGAUAAGCAUCAUAAUGGAUGUUUACAAGUAAGUGAUAUCGGGGCUCAACAGAGGAGAAGAUUCAAUUGGUUCUGAGUCGGCAAAGCCUUAAUGGAGAAGCUGCCAUUCGAGAUGGCCCUAAAACGAUACAGCAGUUUCUACAGGCAAAGAUGGAGAGGGAACGUGUCCAGACAGAAGGAACCGUUGGGCUCUGAUAUUCCAUUUGCAGAGAGAAAGACUGCUCGGGUGGCAAAACAGAUCCAAAAGCCAUGGAGACUUUUCAUCGCUGCAUGAGGACCAAGACAAUACUGCUGGAAAGAGAGAGACAGCCAGUGAGAGAGGGAACACAAGCAGGGGGAGUGGGAGAGGAA